rnacentral:tRNA from 1 species
AGCUCUGUGGUGAACUGUCACAUUGGAUUGCAAAUUCAAAGAAGCAGCUUCAACGCUGCCGGGGCUUC